CUUGGUCAUUUAGAGGAAGUAAAAGUCGUAACAAGGUUUCCGUAGGUGAACCUGCGGAAGGAUCAUUACCGAGUGCUCUGGGCCCCCUCGUGGGCCCGACCUCCCACCCUUGUCUAUAUCUACCCUGUUGCUUCGGCGGGCCCGCCUGUCCAGGCCGCCGGGGGGCGCUCCGCCCCCGGGCCCGUGCCCGCCGGGGACUCAACUCUGAACACUGUCUGAAGGUUGCAGUCUGAGUCUUGAUAUAAAAUCAAUUAAAACUUUCAACAACGGAUCUCUUGGUUCCGGCAUCGAUGAAGAACGCAGCGAAAUGCGAUAAGUAAUGUGAAUUGCAGAAUUCAGUGAAUCAUCGAAUCUUUGAACGCACAUUGCGCCCCCUGGUAUUCCGGGGGGCAUGCCUGUCCGAGCGUCAUUGCUGCCCUCAAGCACGGCUUGUGUGUUGGGCCGCCGUCCCUCCCUCCGGGGAGGGACGGGCCCGAAAGGCAGCGGCGGCACCGUGUCCGGUCCUCGAGUGUAUGGGGCUCUGUCACCCACUCUGGUAGGUCCGGCCGGCAAAGAGCCAGCCCCACGUUCAUCAACCCAGGUUGAUUUAUUUCUCCAGGUUGACCUCGGAUCAGGUAGGGAUACCCGCUGAACUUAAGCAUAUCAAUAAGCGGAGGA
rnacentral:rRNA from 1 species